rnacentral:rRNA from 1 species
UACGAAGGGUGCAAGCGUUAAUCGGAAUUACUGGGCGUAAAGCGUGCGUAGGCGGUGAGUUAAGUCUGUCGUGAAAUCCCCGGGCUCAACCUGGGAAUGGCGAUGGAUACUGGCUCGCUAGAGUGUGAUAGAGGAUGGUGGAAUUCCCGGUGUAGCGGUGAAAUGCGUAGAGAUGUGGAAGAACACCAAUGGCGAAGGCAGCCUUCUGGGCCAACACUGACGCUCAUGCACGAAAGCGUGGGGAGCAAACAGG